GCCUGGACCUCCACCCACCUCCCCACGUUUGGACCCCACCACCACCACCUCCCCAGCCCUGGACCGCCCCUCCACCUCCCCGGGCCUGGACCUCCCCUCCCUGAGCCUGGAUCCCCCCACCUUCACCCGGGCUUUGCUCAGGGUCUCUGCCCGGCCCCCGGCCUCAGCCUAGUUGUGGGGGGGCGGGGGGGGGGGGCGGGCUGGCGAGGACAGUUGUGGCGUUUCCAGGAGACUGGAGCAUGCGAGCAGCCGGAACCCUCGCAAUUUUGUUUCCAGAAAGGACGUCUUACCUGUGUGCUGGCAACAUUUCUGUAACACAGAAUCAGACCCAUGCAGCUCGGCUCCUUCCCACUGUUCCCAAGCCAGCGGGUUUACCGCCAGAGCCUCAGCAUCCUCUCCGGAGAAAUGGGAAUGAUCACUACAGCCUAACAAGGAGGGAGCCCACCCCGUUUAGUGUUUUAGCCAUAAGGGUGUUUAUCCAUUACACCGAAAGUGCUCACCGGGCACAGAAUCGGCUAGAAACCCGCAAGCCUGCCCCUUCCUGGUCACCACUGGACAAGUGCGCCCACCUUGGGAUUUCCUGGUCUCCUUUGCUGUUUCCUCACUACUGUCCUCAUCCUCUUGGUUUCAUUCAAUCCGGACAGUCUCGCCUUGCUUUCUGUCUCUACAGGCCUCUCUUUAUUUUAAUUUCCGUUGUUACACCUUGACCGAAGUUAUUUCAACACUGUCAGAUUGCAGACGUUUUAAGCCUGGAAUGUGCACGAGAUGAUAGGAGCUUGAGCGGCUGUCCUGGACCAGGAAGCAAUCUGGAACACCAGAAGCCGACUAGGAGGGUGUAGUGGAAAGGCGACUAAGCCUGGGUCCUUACACACUGCAGAGUGUCUGCAGCAGACUUCAUGGUCCGCUAAAGCCACUGUCUUACUUGGAAGCCACUUACUUGGAUUGUCUGCAUAUGCAACUAAAACCAACCCUAACUAAUAAUAUACAGUUUUUAUUAAUAAACAAUUUUCUUUU